UAAGGAAUAUUGGUCAAUGGACGCAAGUCUGAACCAGCCAUGCCGCGUGAAGGAUGAAGGUCCUCUGGAUUGUAAACUUCUUUUAUCUGGGACGAAAACGGGAUUUUUAUCUCAAUUGACGGUACCAGAGGAAUAAGCACCGGCUAACUCCGUGCCAGCAGCCGCGGUAAUACGGAGGGUGCGAGCGUUAUCCGGAUUUACUGGGUUUAAAGGGUGCGUAGGUGGGCUUAUAAGUCAGUGGUGAAAUCUCCGAGCUUAACUUGGAAACUGCCGUUGAUACUAUAGGUCUUGAAUUAUCUGGAGGUCAGCGGAAUAUGUCAUGUAGCGGUGAAAUGCUUAGAUAUGACAUAGAACACCAAUUGCGAAGGCAGCUUACUACACAAUCAUUGACACUGAGGCACGAAAGCGUGGGUAGCGAACA
rnacentral:rRNA from 1 species